rnacentral:tRNA from 1 species
GGGGGCUUGGUUCAGUGGUAGAAUUGCGGUCUCCAAAACCGCAGACGGGAGUUCGAUUCUCUCAGCCCCUG